rnacentral:rRNA from 1 species
UACAGAGGUCUCAAGCGUUGUUCGGAUUCAUUGGGCGUAAAGGGUGCGUAGGUGGCGCCGUAAGUCGGGUGUGAAAUUUCGGAGCUUAACUCCGAAACUGCAUUCGAUACUGCGGUGCUUGAGGACUGGAGAGGAGACUGGAAUUCAUGGUGUAGCAGUGAAAUGCGUAGAGAUCAUGAGGAAGACCAGUGGCGAAGGCGGGUCUCUGGGACAGUUCCUGACACUGAGGCACGAAGGCCAGGGGAGCAAACGGGG